CGGCGAGUGAAGCAGCAAUAGCUCAAAUUUGAAAUCUGGCGUCUUCGACGUCCGAGUUGUAAUUUGUAGAGGAUGCUUCUGAGUAACCACCGACCUAAGUUCCUUGGAACAGGACGUCAUAGAGGGUGAGAAUCCCGUAUGCGGUCGGAAAGGUGCUCUACACGUAGCUCCUUCGACGAGUCGAGUUGUUUGGGAAUGCAGCUCUAAAUGGGAGGUAAAUUUCUUCUAAAGCUAAAUAUUGGCCAGAGACCGAUAGCGCACAAGUAGAGUGAUCGAAAGAUGAAAAGCACUUUGGAAAGAGAGUUAAAAAGCACGUGAAAUUGUUAAAAGGGAAGGGAUUGCAACCAGACUUGCUCGCGGUGUUCCGCCGGUCUUCUGACCGGUCUACUCGCCGCGUUGCAGGCCAGCAUCGUCUGGUGCCGCUGGAUAAGACUUGAGGAAUGUAGCUCCCUCGGGAGUGUUAUAGCCUCUUGUGAUGCAGCGAGCGCCGGGCGAGGUCCGCGCUUCGGCUAGGAUGCUGGCGUAAUGGUCGUAAUCCGCCCGUCUUGAAACACGGACCAAGGAGUCUAACAUCUAUGCGAGUGUUCGGGUGUCAAACCCCUACGCGUAAUGAAAGUGAACGGAGGUGAGAACCGCAAGGUGCAUCAUCGACCGAUCCUGAUGUCUUCGGAUGGAUUUGAGUAAGAGCAUA
rnacentral:rRNA from 1 species